CAGCUAGUUGGUAGGGUAACGGCCUACCAAGGCGACGAUCCGUAGCUGGUCUGAGAGGACGACCAGCCACACUGGGACUGAGACACGGCCCAGACUCCUACGGGAGGCAGCAGUGGGGAAUAUUGGACAAUGGGGGAAACCCUGAUCCAGCGACGCCGCGUGUGUGAAGAAGGCCUGCGAGUUGUAAAGCACUUUUAGUGGGGAUGAAAAGUUCAGGGCUAACACCUCUGGAUCUUGACCUAACCCACAGAAAAAGCACCGGCUAACUCUGUGCCAGCAGCCGCGGUAAUACAGAGGGUGCAAGCGUUAAUCGGAAUUACUGGGCGUAAAGCGUGCGUAGACGGUUACAUAAGUCGGGUGUGAAAGCCCCGGGCUCAACCUGGGAAUUGCAUUCGAGACUGCGUAGCUAGGGUGCGGAAGAGGGAAGCGGAAUUUCCGGUGUAGCGGUGAAAUGCGUAGAUAUCGGAAGGAACACCAGUGGCGAAAGCGGCUUCCUGGUCCAGCACC
rnacentral:rRNA from 1 species